rnacentral:hammerhead_ribozyme from 1 species
GCACUGCUGAGGAGUCCUAAAAUAGGACGAAACGGUCGCCCAGUGC